rnacentral:lncRNA from 1 species
UUUGGUAUAAACUCAAAGUGGCCCUAAUUUCUUCCCCCUCUCUCACUCUCCCAUCACCGUUCUCACUCUCCCCACCACAACUCACUCUCCCCGCCAACUGACUCAGUUGAAGACAUGCUUAUGCCUUCAGGAAUGGAGAAAACGGUAGAUUUUGGGCAGUUCUUCAAGAAAGGCUACUGUAAUAAGCCAGAUAUUCGCAAACCCGACCAAACAAUCGAAGUUGAAAAUAAUCAGGAGGAAGGCAGUAGCAGUAAUUCCAACGACAAGGAAAAAACCAAAGACGAUGAAUGGAUUGGUGGUGUUUUCGAAUUUUUCGAAGAAGGUAACCAUAGAUUGAAUUAUAAAAUGUCUCAUUUCUCUUUUAUUGUACUGUUUUUUGGUGUUGAGUUAAUCUAUCGUGCAAUUUUUUUUCAAUUACAGGUUACAUUGCUUCUUGUGCAUUAAGUGAGUCGAAAUCACUGGAUACAUUUUUUAUUUUUUAUUAAUUUUAAAUUUAGGAUUAUGUUGGUUUGAGACUGACUAUAUGUGAACUCGUUCGAUUUGAAUAAGAAAUUUUUGGUUAGAUAAUUGUAAUAUAUAGUGUCGAUUUCUUAUAUUUUCUUCGUGUUGGAUUUGCUUGCUAAUUUGAAUUUGUUUUAGUUGUUCAACUCAGGUUACUAAAAGAGAUGGAGGAUUUAUAGACUGGGUUUUGUGGAGCAUAUAAUUGUUCAGAUGGUAGUGGAAUGGGGUGCGGUGAUGAUUUAGCAUUUAAAUCUCUCUCCUUUAUGUGUAUUAAUCAUUCAUUGACAGUUUGUUGUGAUGUUCUUCGCUUAAUCAUGCUCCUGUUCAAUAUGUUCUACAAAACAUCGUUAAAAUCUCAGAAGACGAUUGCCUCGAUUUUUGGCAUAUCAAUUUUGCGGCUAAUUUCAGCAAUUUAUAAUGGUCUCCUAGGAUUGAUUUAUUUGUCUUUGGGAAUUUGGAUUUUAGAAGAAAGGUUGAGGAACACUCGAACUCUUCUACCUCUACAUUGGUGGACCAUGUUCUUGCUUCAUGGACUAAUAUGGUUGUUAGUUAGUUUAACUAUGAGCCUUAGGGGACAUUAUUUUUCAAGAGUUCCUUUGAGGCUGUUAUCCAUUCUAGCUUUCAUAUUUGCCGGAAUUACUUGUGCUGCGUCCAUUGUUAUUGCCGUUAUUAGAAAGAAGCUGUUGAUUAAGAUAGUUUUAGAUGUUCUGUCUUUAGUUGGAUCUAGUUUGUUGUUGUUUUGUACUUGUACAAGCUACCGAUAUGAAGAUAAUGAUGGAAAUGAUCUUUAUGCUCAUUGGUGCCGAAAAUGGCGCCUGUAAAACUCAUUCUAUCAGUGAUGUCACUCUAUUUGCAAAAGCCGGAUUUUUCAGUAAACUAUCAUUUUGGUGGUUGAAUCCACUGAUGAAAAGGGGAAGGGAGAAAACUCUUGAGGACGAGGAUAUACCAAAGUUAGGAGAGGAUGAUCGAGCACAGUCGUGUUACUUGCUAUUCACAGAGAUUUUUAAUAGACAAAAACAUACCAAUCCAUCAGUCAAACCCUCAAUCUUAAAGACUAUCCUUAUAUGCUACUAGAAAGAGAUCUUCGUGUCUGGGUUUUUUGCACUGCUAAAGGUAAUUACUCUUUCUGCUGGUCUGCUUCUUCUUAAUGCCUUCAUCAAUAUUGCCGAAGGUAAAGAAAGUUUUAAGUACGAGGGAUAUGUAUUGGCCAUAUUGCUUUUCUUUACGAAGAGCCUUGAAUCCUUAUCUCAAAGACAACGGUACUUUAGGAGCCGACUAAUUGGUCUAAAGGUAAGAUCUUUACUAACAGCAGCCAUUUACAAGAUGCAACUGAGAUUGUCUAAUGCUGCUAAGCUGAUUCAUUCAAGUGGUGAAAUAAUGAACUAUGUCUUUGUGGAUGCUUAUCGGAUUGGAGAAUUUCCGUUCUGGUUCCAUCAGACAUGGACAACAAGCGUCCAGCUUUGCCUCACGCUCUUCAUUCUCUUCAGUUCAGUUCAGAGAAUGGAGGUGUGGUUGGAGAGAGUGAGCAAUUCGAUCGACUAGUUUUUUUCUUUUUUGCUUCUUUAUUCUUUUCUUAUUUAUUUAAAUUUCUAUAUGAAGUGUUUAUCCCUAAAAAUGAAUUAGGAAUGUGAGUUUUUAUAUUCUCUCCCUUAAAAAGUCAAGUAACAAAAGGCCAGAUGAAAUUUCCCGAGUCUGCGAAAAGAUCAAUUCAUGUACGAUACUUUCAUGCAUCCACCUUUUGCCUUUCCCUACAGUUAAAUAGAUAUACAUCUGUAUUUUGACUACCUCCACUAAAUUCUGUCUAAAUUGAUUGGUUCGACCAAUUUUGAAAUUAAUAGUUUAAAUUUUUGUGUAAUAGCAGUUUUGAAAAUAGAGCUUGAUGAUGGUGUAUUUAGAUUUUUAGCAUGUAAGAUAUAUAUCAUGUCGCCUUGAUGACACUAGUGAGAAUGGGAAGAAUAGGGCUUAUCAAAGGAUAAAUAUAUACAUAGUAUUUUGAUUAAAUGGGGGCAAUAGUAAGAUGCGAUAAAGAAGAUGCUUUGCAAAUUAUUUUGUUUUGUCUUUUUUGUGUAUAUGCGCUAUUUUUUGAAUUAGUAACAAUUCAUGAUGCUAGCCAUGAUAUGAAAUUUAUCAGCAAGAAUUUUGACUUUCAUUUUAUGUUCUAGUGUUUUCGUAGUAGAUGUUAUAUUGAACUUAGUAAUAUUUGCACGAGUUGUCAUACCUGUCUUUAGUGAGAAAGCUUUUUCUGAUUAUUGCUUUGUUUCUUUCUUUUCUUUCUCUUAUGACAUCAUGACCAAAUUGUUUCUGGAGUAGAUUGCUUGAAGUAUGAUUGAUAACAUAUUGGCCGUGAGUUUUCAUGUUCUCUUUAAGUACAAGCAUCAUCAGUCUAUGGACCAAUUUUAGUCUUGACCAAUACAUUCAUAAAAAUCUGUUACAUAUUCUACGCCUUCAGCCAGUUUAUGUUUUCUUCAGCCUUUAACUUAUUUCAAUAGAUAACUAAAUCUCUAUUGUAUUAUCUGAACUCAGAUUCAUACUCGAUCUAAGUUUUCUGAGGACAAGCUUCUCUGUGGCGAUCAUGAAGGUUGAAUUUACCCAUUGCAUUCAAAAGAUAGGUGCAGGCCAAGAAGAAAGUAACGGAAAUGAUUUUUUAGAGCUAGCCAACCCAACGAUUUGAAGACAACAAGUUCUAAAUUAUCUUCUUUUAUACAAUAAUUUUUUGUUGUUUAAGAGGAGUGUAAGAUGAUGUUUAUUUGAUGGGCAAUAUGUUCUUCGAUUUAUUACAAUGAUGUAUUUUGACUAUUUGGUAUGGAUUAAUAAAAUUAUAUCAAUUGAAGGCCUAAAAA